rnacentral:misc_RNA from 1 species
AAUCGAUCAUCACAUUUGCUUGCAGUAAGUGGCUGCUCAUUUCUUGUUCAAAGGUCAUUUUGCAUCAUAUUCUUAGGGAUGUUCUUCGAACAAAAUGCAGCUUGAAAAGUCUAUUUGCAAGAGCUUAAGCUUGUUUUAUUUACAGUGAAGAUUGAAGAGAGAGGAAAGAAAUGAAAACUUGGAUUCUUGCAGCAUUUUGAGAUUGAACUUGAUCGUCUAAG